AUAUUAGGUUAAGUUAUUAAGGGCGUAUGGUGGAUGCCUUGGCACUAGGAGCCGAUGAAGGACGUGACUAACUGCGAUAUGCUUCGGGGAGUUGUAAGUAAACUAUGAUCCGGAGAUUUCCGAAUGGGGAAACCUAACAGGUUUUACCGCCUGUUAUCACUAAGUGAAUUCAUAGCUUAGUUGAAGGUAGACGUGGGGA
rnacentral:rRNA from 1 species